rnacentral:rRNA from 2 species
UGCAGUCGAGCGGACAGAAGGGAGCUUGCUCCCGGAUGUUAGCGGCGGACGGGUGAGUAACACGUGGGUAACCUGCCUGUAAGACUGGGAUAACUCCGGGAAACCGGAGCUAAUACCGGAUAGUUCCUUGAACCGCAUGGUUCAAGGAUGAAAGACGGUUUCGGCUGUCACUUACAGAUGGACCCGCGGCGCAUUAGCUAGUUGGUGAGGUAACGGCUCACCAAGGCGACGAUGCGUAGCCGACCUGAGAGGGUGAUCGGCCACACUGGGACUGAGACACGGCCCAGACUCCUACGGGAGGCAGCAGUAGGGAAUCUUCCGCAAUGGACGAAAGUCUGACGGAGCAACGCCGCGUGAGUGAUGAAGGUUUUCGGAUCGUAAAGCUCUGUUGUUAGGGAAGAACAAGUGCAAGAGUAACUGCUUGCACCUUGACGGUACCUAACCAGAAAGCCACGGCUAACUACGUGCCAGCAGCCGCGGUAAUACGUAGGUGGCAAGCGUUGUCCGGAAUUAUUGGGCGUAAAGGGCUCGCAGGCGGUUUCUUAAGUCUGAUGUGAAAGCCCCCGGCUCAACCGGGGAGGGUCAUUGGAAACUGGGAAACUUGAGUGCAGAAGAGGAGAGUGGAAUUCCACGUGUAGCGGUGAAAUGCGU